GGUUCUAUGGUGUAAUGGUCAGUUAGCACUCUGGACUCUGAAUCCAGUGAUCAGAGUUCAAGUCUCAGUAGAUCCA
rfam:Poecilia formosa, whole genome shotgun sequence.